CUUUAAAGUUAAGUUCAUAUGUAUCUACAUGCCCGAUCCCGUCUGAUCUCGGAAGCUAAGCAGGGUCGGGCCUGGUUAGUACCCGGAUGGGAGACCACCUAGGAAGACCAGGUGCUGUAGGGG
rnacentral:rRNA from 1 species